rnacentral:sRNA from 1 species
UCCAAAAUCUAAUAAGUAUGAUAAUAAAACCCUCUGAGUCAGGGAAAUACUCCAUUCAUGUUAAUAAUUUGCCAAUUGCCAAGUAAACAAAUUCUCAUUUGAUUUAUUUUAAAUAAUUGGAAAAAGUUGCUAUAUAUGUACAUAUGCACGUUCUGAUUCCAUCGUUCCCAUGCAAGUAAAUGUUCGUACUUUAUUUUAUUCUGCCAUGUAUGAUCAGUCUCCGUGUGUUGAUGCGAGCGAACGCAACCAUUUUUUUUUCCACGUGCUUUCUAUGUGUUAAAUUAAUGCCGAUUGAUGGCCAAAAUCUGCAAUUUUGGGAUUUAAUUUUGCCAAUUAAAUCCCACAAUAUAUGUAUGUCACACAUACAUAUGCAUGCUAUUUAUUUCCCCAACUUAAAACGUGAUGGCUGGCUUAAGAGAGGAUUUAAAGAUCGGUGAGUUUAAGAACAAAACCUUUUUUACUCACACAUAUUGAUUUAACGCAUCGCAUCAAUGGGUUUUAAGGGAGGGAAAUUGAAACACUGGGAAAUACAUACACAUAAAUCUACCCAAGUCACAAACCAUAAAGUAUUCACAUACUUGGGACUUUUGUUGCUAGCAUACUUAUGUUGCUGCCAAAGUUAUGCACAUAUAUGUUGCUGCAACAAAACUAUUUCCCCUUCCCCCCCUGCCCUCAAUUGCACACUCUAAAUAUUAUAAAUUGCACACUAUUUUACUAAUUGCACGCCAUUACCUAAUAUUGCACAUUUAUUAACACACACUAAACGAAUCAAUUGAGCCUAAUAUUUUAUGAUAACAAAGGGGAAAUUAAUCAACAUUGAAAAACCUAUUAUUUACUAACAUGCCCCGAAGCGAUUUUUUAUUCUCUAUUUUGUUAUCAUUUACUAAUUAAUAAAACACCUGACACUUUUUUAUGAAUUUAUGACCCGACUCUUUUUUAUUUUAUAAACCAAUGAACGAACUCUUAAAACAACUUUUCCCAGCUCUCGUCUUGGCAAACCCAAGCUGGUGAACUUGACCAAUAUUAUCCUGCCUUGGCCUGGCAAGCCUUGGCAGCCGAAUUUUGAUCCUGCAGAUUUUGAUUAUUAUUGAAGAAUCCUAAAUAUUUUCUUGAAUUCCAGACGUCCCUGCUCUCGGCCUGGCAAGCCGAAGCAAACAAUUUAUUCUGAUCCUUUGGUGGUGGUUCUUCUAGAUUUAUCCUGUUUAAUAGUCUCUCUGCCUCUUGGUCUGGCAAACCAAAGCAGAUGAGCUGAUCUUGUGAACGAUAAUGGAUGAAUUUGGCCAACGCUUGUGCUUGGCCAAAAUCUGAAUCUCAAUAUUUUUGCCUAGGUCUGGCAAACCAUAGCAAAUAUAUUUCUUUAUCCUUAAGAUUUUUCUAGAAUAACCCAGUGCAAUAAUUUUCUGUUUACGGCCUGGCAAACCUAAACAGUUGAUAGGAUCCUGCAAAGUACAAAUGUUGAAUCGGGCCAAUAUUUAUUGGUCAAAUUUGGAAUUCUGAAUUUAUUUUUGUUUUUCUCCGGUCUGGCAAACCGAAAUAAUCUAUUUAUCGUGUGAUGAUUUUCCUGCUUUCUGGUCUGGCAAACCAAAGCAGCUGUGCGAAUUCUGCAGUAGUGAUAUUUACACUAAUUCCGAUCAACGAAAUGUCAAGUUUGAGUUCCAAGAAAAUCUGCCAACUCCUUAUUCAGAUUGCAGUACGAAACGAAUCCUGGAUAACCUUGCCUAUGGACUGGCACUCCUAGGCAACAAGCCAGAUGCUGCAUUCUGUUAUUUCACGCUUUUGGCCAACUAGUUUGGCCAAAUCAGAAUUCUUGCCGCCGCCUGUUCCUGCCCGAGAUGGCCCUUAUUGGGCAAAACAAGAUGAAAGAAGGAAGUCCUGUUGACAGUCAAUCCUGCUGUCGCCCGUCAACGAGCCAGUCCCAGCCGCAAGUAGCGGCCAAGUCUGGCCAAUAAUUAUGGCCCAAUGCAAAUGAAGGAUGUCCUGCUGACAGUCAAUCCCGGCCGUCAUCCGUCAAUGAGCCAGUCCCAGCCGCAAGUAUGCGGCCAAGUCUGGC